UGCCACGAAUAUUCCCUUUUGCUCUCUCUUUCGACGAGAGUCGAUAUUUUCAGAUUUUGUCGCGAGGCCAUCCUCACUCGUCCCUGAUAAUCGUUAGACACGAAAAAACUUUCCCCAAUCUGCUUGAAGAUCGGGAUUUCUCUCCCAGGUUCAACCAUCCUAAUUCAAACGGUUCACACGUUUCACUUUCUUUCUCCUAAAUUUCUAGGGUUUCAAUUUUGAUCCCGCCAAUUUUAGAUACCUAGCAGCACGAUACCUGAUUUCGCUUUUUUUUCUCCAUCCGAUCUUACUUCAUUCAUAGGUAGGGGUUUACUUGAUAUGCGCACUUUGUUCUUCAAUAAGGAAACUUAGUUGAAUUCAUUGUUUUCUAGGUUUUAGGGUUCUAGAAACGGAAUUGUUCCUUUUCCGCUACAGGGUUAGGGUUUUCCGUUUGAAUUUAGCAUUUCAAGUAUAUUUAUGACGACAGGUAGACACGGAGGUUAUCACGAUCACAAAUUCAGGCACAGUGAGUCGGAUUUUGGCAUUUCAAGGAGUGGUUUUACUACUAAUAAUUUUAAUGAGGAGUAUGAUGGGAUUAGAAAUAAUGGUAAGGGUCGGAGGAGGGAUUCGAGAGAUAGAGUUAUUACAAGGGAGAGAGAAAUUUCAAAUGGUAGUUACCGGUCAUCUUCGAGUAGGAGUGACUCUAGCAGUAGUGGCGGCCUUAGUGGCAGGCUUGGUCCUAGAAGAUGUGAUUUUCCUGUAAAGACUAUGGAUAGAGAGCCAGGCGAGCUUUCUAGUGAGAGUGGAUCUGAUGAGGGCGUUGAAGCAGAGUCACUGGUAAAACGCCAUAAGGCUGUGAUGGGUAAAGAGUUUGAUUAUGAUGUUGAAUCAGAAUCACUCUUCAAACACCGCGAGGUUGCAAUGGGCAAAGAAAAUGGGACUCAAUCUCCAUUACAAAGGAAAAGGAAAUUUUCACCAAUAGUAUGGGAUCAAGAUGACCACAAAUUGACUAAUUUAUCCAAGCUUAAGGUUGUCACAACAGUGACUGCUGUUUCUCCACCACCUCCAUUUCCAAGAGCAGUCAACGAGUCGCCUCAUGUUCCUUACAAUGGAGUUGAAGUUCUUCCUCCUGAGAAUCCUGUGUUGUCGACUGCAAUGGAUCCUUCUAUGGUGUCUGAGUCAGUUCAAGAUGCUGAAUCUGAGUCUCCUAUAGGUUUGAAUUCACUGUUGUCAGAGCAGAGGUUGGUUAAUGGGAACACUGAGCAACCAGAAGUUGAAGAUUACGUGUCAACUCGCAAUAUAUCAUCUUCAAGAUGGGCAUCUGGAGAUGGCUCUUCGGAUGAUGAAGGUGAAAUCAUUGAUGAGAAGGAAAUCCUUAAAAAGAGGAGGCUAUCUCUUGAGGCGGGUAUGAAAAUACGAAACAAGAUGUUGAGACCAGAGGAAUCUAAAAUUGAAGGUUUUGAAAGGUCUAGAGGAAAAUCAUCUGAAUCCGAAGAAAGAGGUAGCACUGGGAGAUAUUCCGGUGAAGAUGAUUAUCCUGGUAUUGAGGCAGGGAAGGACAACUACAUGGAGAUUGACAGCGGAGUUUGCAAAAGUGACGCAAGUGGUAGUCACACAAAUACUGAUUCUGAACGUGAAGACAAUUACAGGGAAAGUAUGGAAUCUCUGUCUCCACCCCAGAGAGUUGUCAACAUGCUUCAGGGGUGUAGAAGUGUUGAUGAGUUUGAGAGACUGAACAAGAUUGAUGAAGGAACAUAUGGUGUUGUAUAUAGGGCCAAAGACAAGAAGACCGGUGAAAUAGUGGCACUGAAAAAGGUUAAGAUGGAAAAGGAAAAAGAAGGCUUUCCACUGACUUCUCUGAGGGAAAUAAACAUACUUCUUUCCUUUCACCAUCCAUUCAUAGUUGACGUUAAGGAAGUAGUGGUAGGUAGUAGCCUUGAUAGUAUUUUUAUGGUUAUGGAAUACAUGGAACACGAUCUUAAAGGACUAAUGGUGGCAAUGAAGCAGCCAUUUAGCCAGAGUGAAGUAAAAUGCUUAAUGCUCCAGCUGUUAGAAGGUGUGAAGUAUCUUCAUGACAACUGGGUGCUUCACAGGGACUUGAAGACCUCAAACCUGCUUCUGAAUAAUAGGGGCGAGUUAAAAAUUUGUGAUUUUGGAUUAGCUCGUCAGUAUGGGAGUCCAUUGAAACCUUAUACAUCAUUGGUGGUUACUCUUUGGUACAGGGCUCCUGAACUUCUUUUGGGGACAAAGCAGUAUUCAACAGCUAUUGACAUGUGGUCCCUGGGUUGUAUAAUGGCUGAGCUUUUGUCCAAGGAACCAUUGUUUAAUGGGAGGACUGAAUUUGAUCAACUUAACAAGAUUUUCAGAAUUCUUGGCACCCCAAAUGAAACAAUUUGGCCUGGGUUCUCAAAAUUACCUCUAGUCAAGGCCAAUUAUGUCAAACAUCAGCUUCAACUCUGUGUGGUUGGCUAUCUGGCCUCCCCGGUGACUCACUUUUACACGAAUUUCCUAUUGUGUAUUAACCACAGGAAUGUUCCUUUCAGGUAUAGUCUCCUGCGCAAAAAGUUUCCCGCAACAUCAUUCACUGGAUCCCCAGUUCUUUCUGACUCUGGAUUUGAUUUGUUGAACAAGCUUCUCACUUAUGACCCUGAAAAGAGGAUCACCGCUGAAGAUGCUCUCAACCAUGAAUGGUUUCGUGAAGUUCCCCUCCCCAAGUCUAAAGAAUUCAUGCCUACAUUUCCUGCUCAACAUGAUAAAGAAAGGAGAAUGCGAAGAAUAAUGAAGAGUCCACAUCCGUUAGAGAAGCACCGGAAGGAUUUGCAGCUGGGCGAAUCAGGAACUGGUAGUAUUUUUGGUUAACAAUGGUGCAAUCUAAAGUUUUCGUCUUGAAAGUCAUUUUAAAACUGUUGAAUGUUUGCAUGCUUGAGGUGAGAGUAUGCACUGGAUGUAUGUUCUUAGACGAUAGCCUGUGCUGUUUUUUUUAUCAGACACCUGUUUUGUUUGGGUUGAGAUAUGUAUUCUUUAUCUCCUGGGAGACAGAUUUAUUUCAGGUUAACCUUCAUUGUUGGUCAUCUUAUAGAAAUGCAAAUGGGACACAGCUGGCAGCAUAAGAGAAAGUUCGUGUGAAGUGGAAGAGUGCGUUCUGUCCAUUUUGUUGAAGAAAAUGACACUUACUUUUCACAUCAAAGUAUCAAAGCUAGCAGGUUGAGGAUGUUACCUGUAUACCCUGGAAUAUAUGGAACUAUGUUCCAUCAGGCUCUCUAGAGGUACCAUCCAAACCUUGGUAUGUUAUAAUACAUCUCUGUAGUUCUAUCAACUACCCAGAAUUUUAAGGUCACAAUCUUUUAUUUAUUUCAGUUGUGCAUGUUCUAGUGAUUCCUUGUAUAGUUUAUUUUUAUUUCUUGACUGAAAUUUCAGUUAGGCUUUUAGACAUUUUAUUUGUGCCACAAUACUUGAACCCAUGGGUAGAAGAACUAUGUUUUGUUUUUGUUUUUUCUUUCCUUUUUACGAUCUUGGUAUAUGAUAAAUUGCCAUUCUUGUCAACUUGAAAGUGGGAUACACACUGCUGCUUCCCUGUUAAGGCCAACAAUGGAAGAAUUUUGACAUCUGUGGUAGAACUACUAAUUAGUAAUUACUCUUAGUUUGUACAGCUGGGAGAUGUGCUCUUUUGUUGGGAACUGCAAGUAUCGUGUAACUCAUAAAAUUUAGACAUUUUGCUGUAUUACCACAAAUCCCUCUCUUGUUUUUUUUUUGGCAUGAUGUAAGUAAAUAAUCCAAUUUCCUUUUCUUUACCCGACUAAAAUUUACAUAUAUUCUGAUACCAGUUCGAGUUUUGUAGCAA